CAGUAGCCGCGUAAAACGUAGGGUGCAAGCGUUAAUCGGAAUUACUGGGCGUAAAGCGUGCGCAGGCGGUUAUAUAAGACAGAUGUGAAAUCCCCGGGCUCAACCUGGGAACUGCAUUUGUGACUGUAUAGCUAGAGUACGGCAGAGGGGGAUGGAAUUCCGCGUGUAGCAGUGAAAUGCGUAGAUAUGCGGAGGAACACCGAUGGCGAAGGCAAUCCCCUGGGCCUGUACUGACGCUCAUGCACGAAAGCGUGGGGAGCAAACAGGAUUAGAUACCCCUGUAGUCCCUGUCUCUUAUACA
rnacentral:rRNA from 1 species